UGCGUAGGGACCGAGCGUUGUGCGGAAUCAUUGGGCGUAAAGAGCGUGUAGGCGGCUACGUAAGUCCUGCGUGAAAUCCUGCGGCUCAACCGCAGGCGGUCGUGGGAAACUGGGUGGCUAGAGUGCGGGAGAGGAGAGUGGAAUUCCUGGUGUAGCGGUGGAAUGCGCAGAUAUCAGGAGGAACACCAGUGGCGAAGGCGGCUAUCUGGGCUGAAACUGACGCUGAGGCGCGAAGGCUAGGGGAGCAAACAGG
rnacentral:rRNA from 1 species